GACGAACGCUGGCGGCGUGCUUAACACAUGCAAGUCGAGCGGUAAGGCCCUUUCGGGGGUACACGAGCGGCGAACGGGUGAGUAACACGUGGGUGACCUGCCCUCAGCUCUGGGAUAAGCCUGGGAAACCGGGUCUAAUACCGGAUAUGACUCCAUGACGCAUGUUGUGGGGUGGAAAGCCUUGUGCGGCUGAGGAUGGGCCCGCGGCCUAUCAGCUUGUUGGUGGGGUGAUGGCCUACCAAGGCGACGACGGGUAGCCGGCCUGAGAGGGCGACCGGCCACACUGGGACUGAGACACGGCCCAGACUCCUACGGGAGGCAGCAGUGGGGAAUCUUGCGCAAUGGGGGAAACCCUGACGCAGCGACGCCGCGUGUGGGAUGAAGUCUUCGGAUUGUAAACCACUGUCGCGAGGGACGAAGCUCUGGCGGUACCUCGAAAGGAAGCACCGGCUAACUCUGUGCCAGCAGCCGCGGUAAC
rnacentral:rRNA from 1 species